UCAAGCUAGGUGAUGUGGUUAGCAUUAAGUUUAUUCAACAUAUUUCUCACUAUGUACAUUAAAUACAUUAUUUAUACAAACAUCAUGACUGCAUCAUGAUGUCAAGGCUGUGGGAAGUUAAUGAAUCAACCACAUAUACAUGGAUCUGAAUUAGGAUGUCAAAGUUGAUUAAUUCAAUUCACAAAUACAGACUGUGUAUGAAUGGAAGCAGGUGGGGCCAUGCAUAUACAAGUUGAAGCCAAGCACUGCAAGAUUGCACUUGUCCAAACAAAAAGGAGGCAAAGUUGUGAGAUAGAGAAGAAAGAAAGGAGAGCUCCAACCUUCUGAGCUCGUGAUAUAACACGUGGGUGGACAACAUGGGACCCGUUCAGAACUAACAUGGCAUGGUAGUACACUGGUAGGAUUAGGGCAUAUAUCAUGUACACACACACAAAACUACUACUACUAUACAACUUCACUUUUACAAAACAAAACAAAAAAAGUGACAAGUUCUACAUUUUCUCCAUUUGUACUUAACAUUUCAAAUAAAGGAAAAUAAUAUAUGAAUAAAAAGAAGCAAACUUGUAUUUUGCAUGUGUACAAAUGAAUCAAACCAAAAUGCUCCCCUCAAACACAUGUACAAAUGAACCAGCAAUGCUGUCCAGCAAACAUGUACUGAUCUGAGUAAUACUCUGGUGCCUGUAGUGUGGUUCUUAGGUUCUGAAAGACGUGUACACUCAUGUGAUUUCUAUCUGGAUACUUCCACUAGUAACUGACACUAGAGCAGAGAAACAUUGGACACUAACUUGUAGCACACACAUUUUACAAUCUCCUUUUCAUUGUAUAUUUUGAUGAAUGGCCUUAUGAUCAUCAUCCCAGAGAGUCUUGCCAUUCGGUUCUCUAGUUAAACUAACACCCAAUUCAUUGUACAUUGUAAGUGUUUGUGUCUGAGGAACUGGACUUGGCUCAGAUUCCACAUUUAAUUGCACUUUCUGGUACCACCCCAAGAACCUUACUUUGGUUCUUAAACAAAAAUAAAUAGCUGAAUUAUGUAUGAAGAGACUGAGCGUGUAGAUUAUAUUCGUAUAAUAUGAUUCAGUCAUUAUAAAUACCACCAUGUAUUUGUCAGAAUAGUGUUACCGUAUAAGAAAAGUUUCAAAAUGAGUGCAGGAAAGAUAACACUCAAACAAAUAAAGACAAUCAAUAUAAUUACAAUUGAUUCUAUAGUAAAUUGUAAUUAAAAAAAAAAAAAAAAAAAAAAAAAAAAG